CACAUGACUCUCGGCAACGGAUAUCUCGGCUCUCGCAUCGAUGAANNNNNNNNCAAAAUGCGAUACCUGGUGUGAAUUGCAGAAUCCCGCGAACCAUCGAGUUUUUGAACGCAAGUUGCGCCCGAGCCUUCUGGCCGAGGCACGUCUGCCUGGGCGUCACG
rnacentral:rRNA from 1 species